GAGCUCGUAGGCGGUUUGUCGCGUCUGCUGUGAAAACCCGAGGCUCAACCUCGGGCCUGCAGUGGGUACGGGCAGACUAGAGUGCGGUAGGGGAGAAUGGAAUUCCUGGUGUAGCGGUGGAAUGCGCAGAUAUCAGGAGGAACACCGAUGGCGAAGGCAGUUCUCUGGGCCGUUACUGACGCUGAGGAGCGAAAGCGUGGGGAGCGAACAGGAUUAGAUACCCUGGUAGUCCACGCCGUAAACGUUGGGAACUAGAUGUGGGGACCUUUCCACGGUCUCCGUGUCGCAGCUAACGCAUUAAGUUCCCCGCCUGGGGAGUACGGCCGCAAGGCUAAAACUCAAAGGAAUUGACGGGGGCCCGCACAAGCGGCGGAGCAUGCGGAUUAAUUCGAUGCAACGCGAAGAACCUUACCAAGGCUUGACAUAUACCGGAAACUUCCAGAAAUGGUUGCCCCGCAAGGUCGGUAUACAGGUGGUGCAUGGUUGUCGUCAGCUCGUGUCGUGAGAUGUUGGGUUAAGUCCCGCAACGAGCGCAACCCUCGUUCUAUGUUGCCAGCACGUCAUGGUGGGAACUCAUAGGAGACUGCCGGGGUCAACUCGGAGGAAGGUGGGGAUGACGUCAAAUCAUCAUGCCCCUUAUGUCUUGGGCUUCACGCAUGCUACAAUGGCCGGUACAAAGGGCUGCGAUACCGUAAGGUGGAGCGAAUCCCAAAAAGCCGGUCUCAGUUCGGAUUGAGGUCUGCAACUCGACCUCAUGAAGUCGGAGUCGCUAGUAAUCGCAGAUCAGCAACGCUGCGGUGAAUACGUUCCCGGGCCUUGUACACACCGCCCGUCAAGUCAUGAAAGUCGGUAACACCCGAAGCCAGUGGCCUAACCGCAAGGAGGGAGCUGUCG
rnacentral:rRNA from 1 species